rnacentral:rRNA from 1 species
GUGUCAGCAGCCGCGGUAAUACGUAGGUGUCGAGCGUUGUCCGGAUUUAUUGGGCGUAAAGCGCCCGCAGGCGGCUUGCCAAGUUCGAAGUGAAAUCUCCCGGCUUAACUGGGAGGGUGCUCCGAAAACUGGCAGGCUUGAGUCAUGGAGAGGGAUGUGGAAUUCCCGGUGUAGUGGUGAAAUGCGUAGAUAUCGGGAGGAACACCAGUGGCGAAGGCGGCAUCCUGGCCAUGUACUGACGCUCAGGGGCGAAAGCGUGGGGAGCAAACCGGAUUAGAUACCCGGGUAGUCCACGCCGUAAACGAUGAGUACUAGGUGUAGGGGGUAUCGACCCCCUCUGUGCCGAAGCUAACGCGAUAAGUACUCCGCCUGGGGACUACGGCCGCAAGGCUAAA